ACACUGUGUGCACAAGAGAAAAUACACCACGACGCGAAGCCACGUAUCACAGCCUGACAUAAUCUCACCUGUAGAAAUAUAUAUAUUUUGCCAUUUUUUCAACGAAAAGUCAGGGUUCAACUUAAAUAAGGACAAAGCAGAAGAUAUCAAGUGCCCUGCCUCUAUCGCUAGCUAUCCUAGAAACAAAUCAUUUUUCUUGUUUGAACAUCCAUCAUGAGGCAAC